GUGGAUCUGAGUUUCUUUCCCCUGUUGCCUCCAUCAUCCUCCAAAUCCCACCAACAUCAGCUGUCUCAGAGCGCAACUGGUCCUUGUUUGGGAACACACACACCAAAGCACGCAACAGGCUGACCAAUAAAAUGGUUGAAAAAUUGGUGGCCAUACGGGCAAAUUUGAUGCUUUUUGAGCCUGACAAGUUAACCUCAACAAGGUUGAAAAGUGACCGUGAAGAUGAGGUCUCAGAGUCUGAUGUUCAAGAGGUGGACAUUGAGCAGGUCCAGGGAGAAGACAUGGAAGCCUGAGAGGAAGACAACCAAAGCUUUAGUUUCUCGACUAUCAUUUUACAGGUAAAGUUUCCACCUCUGAAUAUUCCCCAAAAUGUGCAACCCUACUCACCACAAAGCUCAAGGCCCUGGGACUGAACUCCUUCCUAUGCAACUGGGUCCUGGACUUCCGGAUGGGCCACCCCCGGGUGAUGACGAUAGGCAACAUUAACCCCGCCACAAUGAUCCUCAACAUGGAGGCCCCACAACGUUGUUUCCUCAGUCCCCUCCUGUACUCCCUGUAUACCCACUACUGCAUGGCUUCACACAGUUCCAACUCCAUCAAGUUCCCCGAAGACUCGACAGUAGUAGUCCUGAUUACCAACAACCUCAGGAGGCAAAAGAAAUUCAAAAUGUCCCAGAGUGCCCUCAAUGUUCUACAGAAGCACCAUUGAGAGCAUACUGACGGGCUGCAUCACAUCACUGCAGCUCCACCGCUACUGAACAUUUGUAAACAUGAGUAUAUUAUUAUUAUUUUUGUAUUAUUGUUUCAUUCACACUCUUGGAGCUUUAGUAUUUCACUGUACACUGCAACUACAUCUGCGACCCUGUGCAUGUGACAAAAUAAAAACAAUCUAAAUCUUAACUAAUGUAAUCUGCUGCCCCUCUCAUUGAGUAUCUCAAAAUGAAGACGACCGGGGUACUGCAGGCUGCCAUUAUCAACUCAAUGAUCC
ensembl:lncRNA